rnacentral:lncRNA from 1 species
GUCCGUCCUGUCCCUUCAGGCUGCGCAACGCUGGAGGGCGAUGGGAGCUCCACACAGGUGGGACGAGCCUAGCAGUGAUGCUGCCUGGAGUUAAAGGAGGCCAGGAGCACCAGAAGCUGGAGGAGGCCGGGGUGGAUUCUCGCCUGGAGGCUUCAGUGGGAGCACGAGCUCCCGACACUUCGGUUCCAUCUCUUGUUUAAAGGCACCCAGUUUCUCAUCAUUUGUUACAGCACCAUGGAAAACCCACACACAAGUGAAGCCCCGACCCACCUCCCAAGUGCCCAUCUGAGCACCCCUCGUGGACUCUGAGCAGGGGGUUGCCAUCACCAACUCCAAGUCUUGCAGCCCCUCUUCCCUUCAGUCUGGCUGCCACCUUCUUCAUUGCCCUGGAAAAAAAUAAUGAAGUUUCACCAUUUAAAGGGUUUCAGUGCAGCUUGCUAUGGGAACACUGGAGAGUAACACAAAUGGCCAAUUGUCCUAAUAGCCACCAUGGAUUGGAUGGAUGCUAACAACAGGCUCACAGUUCUCCUUCUGUUGCCUCCUUUUAUCCACAUGAGAAUCAAACAAGACUACUGAUUAAAUGAAGCCUUUGAUGAAGUGCAUGCAGUUUGUAGCUUGAUUCAUGGGAAUACUCAUCACAGACUGAAAGUGUAACCCAGGGUCUCUGGGUUUUUGGGAACGCGCUGUGUAAAAGUAUCUACUUGUAACUGUUACUCCCUGAGUUGUUGUUGUUUUAGAAAGUUCCAAGAAGAAGCUUAGCCUUGGAAAAAACAAAAACUGGUUGAAUCCAGAAGUGGAGAUGAAUUUUGGCCAACGCUCCUCACUGCCACACUAAAAACCCUGCUCAGAGAGGAGCUUAUUCACCAUGUUCUAUUCAUGCAAUGUGUGUGGAAACAUGAUCUACGACAGCAUGCGUGCUGCCUUCACCCUACCUCUACAUACAAUGACUCAUUUAACCUGCUGAAUAAAAGCCCUGUUUUCACCUUUGCUGGGGGAG